rnacentral:rRNA from 1 species
CCUACGGGAGGCAGCAGUGGGGAAUAUUGGGCAAUGGGCGCAAGCCUGACCCAGCAACGCCGCGUGAAGGAAGAAGGCUUUCGGGUUGUAAACUUCUUUUCUGAGGGACGAAGAAAGUGACGGUACCUCAGGAUUAGGCCACGGCUAACUACGUGCCAGCAGCCGUGGUAAUACGUAGGUGGGAAGCGUUAUCCGGAUUUAUUGGGUGUAAGGGGCGUGUAGGCGGGAAAGCAAGUCAGAUGUGAAAACUCAGGGCUCAACCCUGAGCCUGCAUUUGAAACUGUUUUUCUUGAGUGCUGGAGAGGCAAUCGGAAUUCCGAGUGUAGCGGUGAAAUGCGUAGAUAUACGGAGGAACACCAGUGGCGAAGGCGGAUUGCUGGACAGUAACUGACGCUGAGGCGCGAAAGCGUGGGGAGCAAACAGGAUUAGAUACCCCAGUAGUC